AUGAAAAUGACAUUACUACACCCAUGAUAAUGUUACUGCACAAAGGAAACAAAAUAAGUCUGUGCUGAGUAGAUACUACAUUAAAAUCAUUUAAAAUGGCAAACUGUGCAACAACACAUGAAAAGUAUUCCAAGGUUCCUUAUAUACUUGUUUAGUUUGCAAGAUGGAACAUCAACACAAGCAAUUAAUAAUAAAAAUAAUCUAAUCAUCAUCUUUUCAUUGACAAUGCUCUAACAGAAGGCUUGUUUGCAGAUUAAAUUACAGGAAUAGCGUUCUGCAGGAUUAUGUAAAUAUUAAAAUCUUCCCAAGAGAUUUUGUGGUGUGCAUAAUCAGUAGAACCCUAUUCCCAUAAUUUGAAAUAACACCAUACAUGACGUAAUGCCAGAUUAAGUGCAUUUUACCAUUUGAUGUAUGAAGACAGGAAUUCAAACCGGACAUGAUGGUGUUUCAACGCAAAGGAUUAAACCUGGAGGCAAAAUAAUAAACAAAAUGAACUUAUAAAAACUUUUUAUCUGUCAUCAGAGGAACACAAUUCUGCAAAAAAGAAGCAAUUCAUGAUUACUCUUGCAACAUAAUAAUCCAUACACCUAUCUGCCUCCUCUCUCACUGUACAAAACAACAGACUUAAGUGUAAAAUGUAAUUUGAACAAAAAAGUUACAGGAAAAUUAGAAUGAAUCUAGGUUCCAAAGGAAGUAAAACAUCAUUAAUAAACAUUUACAUUAGAAGCAAUCAGCUGUUGGGAGGAUCUAGAGAUCUAAGAAUAAAUUCAAAUGCAAUUUGAGAAGAACAAUUAUGGAAGGAACAGUAAUAGACUAGUCCGAUAAGGACACAUUCAUGAACAUUAAAUCAAGUCACAAGCAGGUACUUUUUAGUGAUAGAACUACUACUUCAUUCUGAGAAAUCUCUUUCUCAGCACUUUCCACGAGUUUUGUUUUCAUAGUUUGCAGUGCUCUUAGCUUUCCUCUACUCACUUUUUAUUUGUCUCAUAGUCUUUCAAAGACUUGUCAGUUGCCCUUUUCUCUGUUACUGAUUCACUGUAUCUACCAUGUGCAUUUUCGAAAUUAUAUAUUAACUGCUUUGUGACAGUUACAGAUACCACACUCUCUGUGACUGCAUCAUGAACAGCACUAACAGUAUGAGAGUGGCUUCUGUCAAAUUUUUGACCAAAACAGAGAAAUCUCUUUCAAGGCUGAUAUUGCCAUGGAAGAGACUGCAAGUAUCCUUGAUAAAUCUCUUCAUAUUUUCACGUUCACUCUUAACCUGAAUGACCAUUAUCCAGAACUGAUUGAUGCAAAGACAAACCCCAUCAAAUUCUUCGAGGAUAUCCUUCACUGACAUGAUCCCUACUAGAUUUUGAAACUUGUAGACAAUGGCAUCAGCCUUAUGAUCAUUAAAGCAUUUUAAGGUACUGAGAUGUAUUACUGCUAUGCUUAAGUGUCUUUCUUAUGAUCAGCAUUAAUUGCCACUUCUGGGUCUAAACAUGGAAUG